GNGGNGAUCUUCCCAAUGGGCGAAGCCUGAUGGAGCAACGCCGCGUGAGUGAAGAAGGUCUUAGGAUUGUAAAGCUCUGUCCUUAGGGAAGAACCGUGGGUAUAGUAAAUGCUACCCACCUGACGGUACCUUUGGAGGAAGCACUGGCUAACUACGUGCCAGCAGCCGCGGUAAUACGUAGAGUGCAAGCGUUGUCCGGAAUUAUUGGGCGUAAAGGGUACGCAGGCGGAUAAACAAGUCAAGCGUGAAAGGUGUCGGCUUAACCGACAGACUGCGUUUGAAACUGAUUAUCUUGAGUGUAACAGAGGAGAGUGGAAUUCCUAGUGUAGUGGUGAAAUACGUAGAUAUUAGGAAGAACACCAGUGGCGAAGGCGACUCUCUGGGUUAACACUGACGCUGAGGUACGAAAGCUGGGGGAGCGAACGGGAUUAGAUACCCCGGUAGUCCCAGCCGUAAACGAUGGAUACUAGGUGUUGGAGGUUNNAAUNCUUNANNNCGNANNUAACNNAUUA
rnacentral:rRNA from 1 species